UACGAAGGGGGCUAGCGUUGCUCGGAAUCACUGGGCGUAAAGGGUGCGUAGGCGGGUCUUUAAGUCAGGGGUGAAAUCCUGGAGCUCAACUCCAGAACUGCCUUUGAUACUGAGGAUCUUGAGUUCGGGAGAGGUGAGUGGAACUGCGAGUGUAGAGGUGAAAUUCGUAGAUAUCGCAAGAACACCAGUGGCGAAGGCGGCUCACUGGCCCGAUACUGACGCUGAGGUGCGAAAGCGUGGGGAGCAAACAGG
rnacentral:rRNA from 1 species